AGAUACAUGGAAAGAAGACAAUAUUAGUGCCCAUUUUGACAAGGAUGGAAAAGACCCUUAGGCCUAAUAACAUACAUAUGGUUAAAUAAUCAAACUCAGAUAUUUA
ensembl:snRNA